rnacentral:lncRNA from 1 species
AAUCUUAUUUGCAAAUUUACUUAUUCUUUAAAUUCCUUCUUAAAACAUUAUUUUAUGUUAUUUAAUCUUCAUGAGAUCCUUCAAGAAUUCCCAAUUGUACACAAGAUAACAGUUGGCAGUUAAAUCCCUCCAUCUUAAGGCUGCACAUUCAAUUCAUUCAUUCAUUCAUUCAGGUGUGAAUUCCUUGAUUUAACACAUACACAAAUAAUUAUACAAAUCAUUGUUGAAUGCUGUUUUGUACAGGGAACUGUAUGACGUACUUCUGGAAUUAAAAAAAUGAAUAAGGUACUGUUUUUGCCUUCCAGGAGCUCAGAUGCCCUCACUGCAUCUUGAAUGCACUCAGAUAGGUAGGAUGAUGGUAAGAGUUCAUAUUUACUGACUACCUACUAAGCACUUGGUACUAUUCUUAGUAUUUUGUUUAACUUUUGCAUUUAAUCCUAUAACAGCAUACCUAAGAAGGGACUAUUAUUUCUGACCUCCCUUUAGAGAAAGCAUGGAGACACAUGCUUUUGGCACUUUGCCCAAGAUCAGGGAGUUAUAAGAGCUGGAGCUGGAUAGAAGCCUGGUGUACACCUCUCUGACCAUUACUUCACCGGGCCACCUGGCAUCUGUAGAGGAGCUUCUGAGCACCUGUGAUCUGAUGGAGAGCAUGGCAGAAGCAGCUGGAUGCCAGACACUGAGGAGAUGCCUGAGUCUGACAAGUGGAAAGAGAAUGUAAAGUUUUAUGAAGACGAAACUAUUUUGCUUAUCAUCCUGUUUCCUAGUGCCUACAAGAGUGUCUAACAUUAAAUGGGUGCUCACAUUUGGUAAGUAUUUGUGAAGGAAUAAAUACUGCAACCCAUAAAAAGAAUGAAUAGUCAUGCAGAUCCAGAUAUGGGGAAGGCUUCCAAAAUAUAACAUUAUGGCGGGAGGGAAAGCAAGUUGCAAGGCAAUCUAUAUAUAUAUAUCAUGAUCCCCCUUUCAUAUCCAAAAGUUUGCAUAUGCAGUGAAAAAUGUCUGAAAAGAUACAGAUCAAAG